GGGGGGUGGGGGUGGGGAGGGGUGGGCAGAGGCGCCCGGCGGGCACCGGGCGGCAAGCGGCGGACGCAGGCGGGCCGGGGAGCUCCCUCGGGUCCCGGUGACCUUGGCAGGGGAAGCGGGGGCGCUUCCGGGCCCGAAGCGGGAGGUGCGACAACGGGCUGCAGAGGAGGCUGCGGGGCGCCUAGACCGGGAGCUGGGGAGCCAGGGAGGGGCGCGGAGCGGGAGAGUCCCCGCGGUGAGAGGCCUCAGCCCCUCCUCCGCCCGCCCGCUCCGGCCUCGGCAGAUCGUCACGCCGGCUCCCGGCCGCGGCGCUCCCAGAUGCCGGCUGGCGGGGGCCCACAGCACUCGCGGGCCGGGCGGGCGCGGAGGGGGCUGCCCUGGCGUCAGGAGGACGGAAGAGCCUGGCUCUUCCCGGGAGAGGACGCGGCCAGCGCCCCCCCCCCGGCGCCCCGCUGACGUUGACGCCCGCGCCGCCCGUUACGUAACCCCUCCCUCCCCCUAGCGCUCCGCCGGCGUCGGGCGCCUGGGACUGGCGCGGCCCGGGCGUCGUCCGUCUGGGCGGCUUUGUGUGGCCCAGCAUCCUUCUCUGAUGCUUGGCGCCCCAGAGGAAACUGAGGUAGCUGUCCGACGGGGCACAGGGAGGCGGGUGUCCGCCGGGGCGGGGGUGACCGCCUUUCUGGGAUCCUUGGGCCGCCAGGGGAGCCCAGACUGCAGCGAGAGCCCAGGCUCUGCCUGGGGCCAUGGCUUCUUCCCCCGAACAAAGGUUCCCUGCCUGGCCCUGACGUCUGGCUAAGGUGACUUCCACAGCUGCCUCUCCCAUCCCAGUGCGUCAGGGCCCCCAGUAUUGUGAGUUCUUAAGUCUGACAGUGAAGCCCAGUGGUGACUGGUUCCGCCCUCUACCCCCUGGAUGACCUUGGGUAAACUUCCUCUCUGAGCCUCUUUGUCCCCACCUAUAAAAUGGGACUGAUCAUGGACCCUCCUAAUGUCUAGGGAAGAACCCCACAUGUCAGCGCAUGCUGAGUACUUAGCAAGGUAACUGAAAUAUCCUUAAACUCCGCUCACCCCUCCUAGGACCUGGCACAGUUCAGAACCUGGGCCUGGCCCUGGGCUGAUAGGUGGUGCCCUACUGGGCCAGUCAGCUCCAGUGGACCUUUGGCUUUGCCCAGGGAACACGUGGUCCAGGUCAGCCCUGUGGACCAGCCCACAGCUGCCGGGGGCCUGCUGCUGCAGCACAGCAGGCCCUGCCCAGCUGGCCUCACACAAGACCCCCUGGGAGCCCCUGGGGGUGCCUCACUAACACCUGUUUAAGAGCAACUUAAAGAGCAGGCUUUGGGAUGAGAGCAGUAGCUGCCCAGACCCCUGUGCUGCUGAGACAUGAUGGGCGCCUCAGUCUCUUCAUCUGCAAAGUGAGGGUGAUCACACUUGGCUCCCUCUGCAGGGAUGAAAUGAAAUACCUCUAUCCCUGCUCCCCUUUAUCGGGCCUGGAGUGUUAGCCCAGGGCUUUAUGUUCAUUUUGCCUUUAAAACAGCAAUUUGAGGUAGAUUUGGUGUCCUUUUACAGUUAAGAAAACUAAGAGGUGGAGUAUCUCCUCCAGGAAGGGUGAUGGACUGUCCUGGUUUGCUCGGGGACAAAGGCACUUUCAAUGGGGGAACUGGGAGUCCCUAGGCUGCUCACCUCCCAAGUGACAAUGCCUUGAGUCCAGAAUUUAGCAGUUGGGUUCCAGAGACCAUGCACAGUAGCACCGACUCUAUUUCCCUCCAUCGGUGUUUGCUGAAUGAAUAAAUGAAUGCUUCGCUCCCCCAGCUGCCCCUAACCCUUGCUGAGCACCCUGGCUCGUGUAUCAGGGUCUUGUCUGUUCUCCACCAGUAGAGUUCUGUGGGAAGCAAGCAAGGUCUCUGGGUUCCACUGCUGAGUGUCUAGUACCCCCUCAGCCCCUCCCUGGUUCCGCUCUGCCGGGGGUGUCUGCCCAAUAGGCGCUUAUCCUUUUGCCCACGGUAGGUUCCCACGGGGAGAGCCACUGCGCCCUGAUAUCAGCUGGCCACUUUGCUUUGGAGCUCAGUUUCCUUACCUACAAAAUGAGGGUGAUAAAACCUGUCUUUGGGUAGCUGCUGGGGCUUCAGGGCAGUGUAGGUAAAGCUCCUGGCACCCAGGAGGCCCUCAGUGUAUAAACAUUAUUAUUGUUGCUCUAAUGGAGUAAUUAUAGCAGACUGUUCCAUCAAGGGCUUCCUCUAUGAGGGUAACUAUCCUAAAUGCUUUCCAAGGAUUGAAACCCAAAGAAGUAGAUACCAUUUUUCAGGUGGAGUUCUGUGUCUCAGGAAGGCUGUGAACUGCCUAAGGCCACAGCAGCGAGGGGCCGGACCAGAGUUUAGAAUCCAGGACUAGGGGCAGGGUUCUAAUUCUUGGAGGGCUUAGCUCAAGGGAUGGCAGCCACAGGUGGUAUGAGGCAACUAAGGCACAGGGUAGGAAGGGAUUGCUGAGGUCCGCCCUCUACCUGCCUUCUGGACAAGCUGGUCCUCUUCUUGCCCAAGGUGGCAGGUCUGGGUGUAAGAACCAGCCCUUUGCUCAAGCUGGGCUGCUCCCCCUCAGUUGGCCGGCUGCCUGAAUCCUCUGCCAGCCACUGUUCCCUGUCGGCCAGCCAAGCUGUGAAGCAGUCCAGGACAUUGUGUCCAGAGAGAGGGCCAAAUGGGCUCCUUGCCCAUGGCCAAUGACCUCCUGCCCCGCCUCUCUGGGCCUCAGGCCAACCUGGCCUGUCCCCUGCCCUGGCACACCUCAGCUCAUCCUGCCUCUGCAAGCUGUGCUGCAAAGGGGUGCCCGCUGCUCCAAACCACGCCCCCUCCCCAGAAGACAACCCCAGGUCCUCUGCUUGUCCCCAAAUCCAGCCAGGCCAAGGUCCCCCACUGCACCGCUUCAGAGCCAGCGAGUUUUUGGUGAAUAAAUGGAGGCACGAACAUAGGAACGAAUCAUUUCUAUGCCGGAGCCAUGAAGAUUUGGAGGCUCUGUGGUGGGAGGUGGUCCAUGGAGGGCACAACAUCAAGGGCUUCUGGGACCUUGUGCAGAGGUGAGAUAUCUGGCCUGAGGCCCAAUUCACACAACAUCAAGGGCUUCUGGGACCUUGUGCAGAGGGCAGGAUCCAGGCUCAUGCUGUGGGAGAACUAAACUGAAAAGGGCCACCUUCAAGGACCAAGGGAACCGGAACAUGUUUCUAACCGGAACUCUGGCAACAAAGUUAAUCCUGGAUUCAGAUUCUUGUGUUGACCUGUGUGUUGGAGAGUAAGUGCUUAAGAGACUGUCAAAAAGAGAGGAAGAAAGAAGCUGGAAGGUGCUGCAUGUCAAUGACAUGGUAAUGGAGAUUCCAGUCUCACACCAUCUCCCUGAAACAUGGACUGCGAAAGCCCAAGUAUGGCUACAAGGCUUCUUGCUACAAAAAGGGCCCUCUCCAAGGCACUUCGGUUCCUCUAAAGCCAGGAAGACCAGACUGAGCCCCAACGUAGGAGAGGGCGGCGGCAAAGGCGCGCUCUGCGCUCUGGGAAUUGCAGUCUUCAGACACUUAACACUCAGGUUGAAGCAUAUGACCUACUUUGUGGGCACACUACACUUCCCAGCGUACUUUGCGAAGACUCAGCCGGGAGCUACGCAUGCCCGAUGGUUCCGGCCCAACGGCAGUCGCCGAACCCACGUGGGGUGGCGAGAUCCAAAAGUUUCCAGACACGGUUUGCAGUUUUUUUUUCCUUGAUCACUUUUUUUGGCAAGGACAGGCGGCAAUGGUAGCGUAGGGGUUUAAUGCGCUUCUCCUGACUGCAGCGGAGAAACGCUGGACUGGAGGGCAAACUCCAAGGGGACAAGAAGGGGGAGGGAGCCUGGGCCGGAGCGUCCCCAUCCCCCACACCCCGAGCGCUUUAUCCCCUGGGGCACCUCCAGGGACUACUUGCUUGUGCGUCAGCAAGUGGCAGAGCGUCACUUACACGCCCCCACCGCCUUGCCCGACUCCAUCCCUCCCCUUUUUUUCCUCCUCCCCCACCUCCCUCUCCUCCCUUCCCCUCUCCUCUCCUCGCGAGUCGCAACCCAGCGAGAUCUGGCUCGCCGCUCCCUGGUGCUGAAGCGCUAAAAAUAUAACCAGUAUGUUAGCAACAGCCUUCCCAUUGGUCGGAAACAGGGAGCGGCGACAUCUGAUUGGAUGUUCGAUCCAACCUUUUAGGACUGGGAGGCGGGGGCGUGGAGCCAUGGAGGUCUUGGGGGGGAGUGCGUUUGCGCAUUGGGGCGCUGCAAGGGAUACUGGUAUUUGUAGUUAUUUACUAGAGGCAGCCUUAGAAGUAGGUGGGUUUGAAUCCCAAUUCUGCCACCAACCGGGUUAUCUUGAUUGAAAGGCACAAAUUCUCUUUAUACCGUCAGACCUGUCCUCUCGUCCUUAAAAUGGAGAUCGAGAUCCUGUGGGGAUUAGAUAUGAUACUGUAUGUAAAGCUUGGCUCAAAUAGUUGCUGUUCUUAAUUUAAAGGUCACCGUUCUGGCCAGCUUGCAUCCUUCCCGUACUGUGCUCUUCAGUGUGUAUACCCCAAAAGGAAACCUUACAAGACAGCAUGAGAAAGUUGAGGGUGUAUCACACGGGAAGGAGGGAUGGAGUCCAUAUAAGCAGAUAAAAGUGUAGAGUCUCCUUCCAUCAAGUGCAGGCUGAGGGAAGGCAGACUGAAUCCCUGGAAGGAAGGCGUUGAAUUUUUGCCCGUUCCUGCAUUUAUCUCCCCUGCAGUGCUGGAAACACACCAACGUUGAGCAAAGAAACCCAAACUGAGAAAUCCAGCCUUUUUGGCAAAGAAGAGCUCUGGGUAAAGGGUUAGUAUAUAAGUAGGAAAAAAAUAAAGUAGAGGGGAAGAAGACAA